GGGUACCGUAAAUACUGUUAUCUUCCCCUAAAAUGGUUGCGAUCCCGCCUUAAAUACCGCUGCUCCGCCUAGAACAGGCCCUCAGGGCUUUCAGGCCCCUCCCCCCCCCAUCCCUCAGCGCAGCGGCUGCUCUGCUCCCCUCAGUCGCUCUGUGGGUUCUGUGCUGGGUUCCUUCCUCUCUGUGAGGCUCACAGAUUCAGCUCUGAAGCGUUGGGAUGAAUCUCAGUGUCUGCGUGUGCCCAGCGGUGCGUUGGGACACAAAUGGCAUCCAUUGCUGCCCCCCCCCCUCCAUUCAGAUAGCUUCCUGUUCUGCUGGAAUAGCAACGUGUGAUGAGGGUCGGCUUGUUAUCCCAUACAGCCCACGUUCCUUAGGUUCCAGGAUGAAGUCUCAGCCUGUUCUGUGGAACCAAGGCCCCAGUAACUGAUAACAAUCAAUGAUCGAUUACCAUCAGCAG